GGGUAUAUAGCUCAGUGGUAGAGUGUGUGCUCAGCAUGCACUAGGUCCUGGGUUCAAUGCCCUGUCCCU
rnacentral:tRNA from 1 species